GCGGCUUGGAGGUGCAGGUCCCCUGCUGUUGAGUCUGCCGGGUUGGGGAGCGAGGCCUGGUUGGGCCUUGCCGACCUUGGGAGACAGAGGUUGCCAGCGAUCGUUCCGGAGCGACUCUCAGUUGUCCCAGGAGAGUAGUGAGCUAUUUUUCUUUGCUAACUUUUUAGUUGUUAGAUAUUGGAGAUGGGAAGAACGUCCUGUAGGGAA